AUGAAUGCUGGCGGCGUGCCUAAUACAUGCAAGUCGAGCGGUAAGGCCCUUCGGGGUACACGAGCGGCGGAACGGCUGAGUAACGCGUGGGAACGUGCCCCAAAGUGAGGGAUAACCUCGAGAAAUCGAGGCUAAUACCGCAUAUGGUCUUCGGAUUAAAGGAUUUAUCCGCUUUGGGAGCGGCCCGCGUACGAUUAGGUUGUUGGUGAGGUAAUGGCUCACCAAGCCUACGAUCGUUAACUGGUCUGAGAGGAUGAUCAGUCAGACUGGAACUGAGACACGGUCCAGACUCCUACGGGAGGCAGCAGUAAGGAAUCUUCCAUAAUGGGCGAAAGCCUGAUGGAGCAACGCCGCGUGCAGGAUGAAGGCCCUUCGGGUCGUAAACUGCUUUUAUGAUGUGACGAAUUAUGACGGUAACUCAUGAAUAAGCAUCGGCUAACUCCGUGCCAGCAGCCGCGGUCAUACGUAGGGUGCCAAGCAUUAUCCGGAGUGACUGGGCGUAAAGAGUUGCGUAGGCGGUAUAGUAAGCGAUAGUGAAACCUGGUGGCUCAACCAUACAGCACUAUUAUUCGAACUCACUAACUCGAGAGAUGGUAGAGGUUACUUGGAAUUCCUAGUGUAGGAGUGAAAUCCGCUAGAUAUUAGGAGGAACACCAAUGGCGUAGGCAGGAUACUGGCUCAUUUCCUGACGCUAAGGCACGAAAGCGUGGGGAGCGAAACGGGAUUAGAUACCCGGGUAGUCCACGCCGUAAACGAUGGAUACUAGCUGUUAGAGGGUAUCGACCCCCUCGAGUAGCGAAGCUAACGCGUUAAGCAUCCCGCCUGUGGAGUACGGUCGCAAGACUAAAACAUAAAGGAAUUGACGGGGAUCCCGCACAAGCGGUGGAUCGUGUUCUUUAAUUCGAUGGAUAAGCGAUGAACCUUACCCAGGGCUUGACAUCCUGGGAAGGCAUUCCGAAAGUAGAGCUGUGCCUUCUGGAACCAAGUGACAGGUGAUGCAUGGCCGUCGUCAGCUCGUGUCGUGAGAUGUUUGGUUAAGUCCAUCAACGAGCGCAACCCUUGAUAGUUAGUUGUAUUUUUCUACUAGGACUGCUCUAGUAACUAGGGAGGAAGGAGGGGAUGAUGUCAGGUCAGUAUUACCCUUACAUCCCUGGGCUACGAAACACGCUAACAAUGGCCGGUACAAUGGCAGCCGAAGUCGCGAGAAUGUGGAGCAAAUCGCAUCAAAGCCGGUCCCAGUUCGGAUAGCAGGCUGAAACUCGCCUCAUGAAGUCGGAAUCGCUAGUAAUCGUAAAGUCAGCACAGCUGCCGGUGAAUACGUUCACUGAUCUUGUACACACCGCCCGUCAAACCAUGAAAGUCGACCAAUACCCGACGUCCGAGCUUCGCUCGGCCUAAGGUAGGGGGAGAUGAUUGGGGUU
rnacentral:rRNA from 1 species